rnacentral:rRNA from 1 species
GUACACAAAAAUGCACAUACUGUGAGCUCGAUGAGUAGGGCGGGACACGUGGUAUCCUGUCUGAAUAUGGGGGGACCAUCCUCCAAGGCUAAAUACUCCUGACUGACCGAUAGUGAACCAGUACCGUGAGGGAAAGGCGAAAAGAACCCCGGCGAGGGGAGUGAAAAAGAACCUGAAACCGUGUACGUACAAGCAGUGGGAGCCUCUUAAUGGGGUGACUGCGUACCUUUUGUAUAAUGGGUCAGCGACUUAUAUUCUGUAGCAAGGUUAACCGAAUAGGGGAGCCGAAGGGAAACCGAGUCUUAACUGGGCGUUAAGUUGCAGGGUAUAGACCCGAAACCCGGUGAUCUAGCCAUGGGCAGGUUGAAGGUUGGGUAACACUAACUGGAGGACCGAACCGACUAAUGUUGAAAAAUUAGCGGAUGACUUGUGGCUGGGGGUGAAAGGCCAAUCAAACCGGGAGAUAGCUGGUUCUCCCCGAAAGCUAUUUAGGUAGCGCCUCGUGAAUUCAUCUCCGGGGGUAGAGCACUGUUUCGGCAAGGGGGUCAUCCCGACUUACCAACCCGAUGCAAACUGCGAAUACCGGAGAAUGUUAUCACGGGAGACACACGGCGGGUGCUAACGUCCGUCGUGAAGAGGGAAACAACCCAGACCGCCAGCUAAGGUCCCAAAGUCAUGGUUAAGUGGGAAACGAUGUGGGAAGGCCCAGACAGCCAGGAUGUUGGCUUAGAAGCAGCCAUCAUUUAAAGAAAGCGUAAUAGCUCACUGGUCGAGUCGGCCUGCGCGGAAGAUGUAACGGGGCUAAACCAUGCACCGAAGCUGCGGCAGCGACACUAUGUGUUGUUGGGUAGGGGAGCGUUCUGUAAGCCUGUGAAGGUGUACUGUGAGGUAUGCUGGAGGUAUCAGAAGUGCGAAUGCUGACAUAAGUAACGAUAAAGCGGGUGAAAAGCCCGCUCGCCGGAAGACCAAGGGUUCCUGUCCAACGUUAAUCGGGGCAGGGUGAGUCGACCCCUAAGGCGAGGCCGAAAGGCGUAGUCGAUGGGAAACAGGUUAAUAUUC